UUAUUCCUUCGCAUAAUAUAUUAAUAUUGUUCUGUUGUAAUAUAUAUUUUAAUCGUCGUCGUUGUUGAGGUACGCAAAAAGGAAGAAAGAAAGAAAGAUAGAAAAAAAAAGAAGAAAAAAAGAAAGAAAGAUAUUUUUAAAUGUUUUUAUCCGUCGUUAAAGUUUUAUACAAAGAUAGUUGCAGAGCAUUUGGAUAAAAGAAAGGGACAAAAGAGUGUACAACGAUCGUAACAAACGCGUACACGAGUCGAGCCCGUAAUAUCUCUACUUACAUCGAAUUCCUUUUUUUUUAUUUUUUUUUUAAUUUUUUUUUUAAUUUUUUUUUUUUUUUUUUUUUUUUUUUCUUAAAUGGUAUCUCAAGGCUCGUGAUCAGGGUAAAACUGAUACCUAAAAUAACAUUGUUGAAAUUUUUUAGCAAUCGAUCUUGAAGCUUGCUACGAAAAAUCUAAUCGUACUACAUUCGCUCACGUUCGUUGCCUUUUAAAUGUUGUUAAACUUUUUAGACUUAAGGUUAAGUAAAAAAAAAAAAAAAAAAAAAGAAGAGAGAAAAAAAAGAAAAAAAAAAAGUGGAAAUUCAUGUUGCCAAUCAGUAAAAGUUAUUAUUAGUAGGAAGUUUGGUGUUCGAGGUGGUGUUCUUAUAUAAGGAUUAAGGUUGUAAUACGAUACGAUACGAGAUCCUUGUAUUCGUACAAAAUUUAGUGUUCAAAUUGUAAAAAGUGUUCAUAGCGGGGGGGAAAAAGAAGAAGAAGAAGAAGAAAAAAAAGUAAAAGAUAAUAAUAAUAAAAUAAUAAAAUAAAACAAAACGAAACACGUUCAAGUGUUUAUCGAGGAAUUGCUUGUAAGAGAGUACCUUGUACUUGUGCUACGCGCAUACGUGUUUAUCGAAAAAAGAAAAAGUAAAAAAAGAAAGAGAGAGAAAAAAAAAUAUAUAUAUAUAUGUAUACACAAUCAGGUCGAAAAUAGAAAUUAAAUUCACAAAUUAUAUCUGCAACUGUCUUCUAACCCGUUUUUUAAAAUGAAUUUUUACACGAAGCACAAGCGAAUUUCUCACGCUAAUCGCGGUUAGGAUCGAGGAGGUCUCGUUGAAAUGAGUUUUCACGUUGAAUAUAUUUUUAAUUAAUUUAUAAGUCUACGGACAUUGCGGGUGGGUUGUGGGGGAAAGAAAUAUGGGAAACAAGAAAAAUUUUACAUAGAUUAUAUAUAUAUAUUAUAUUAUAUUAUAUUAUAUUAUAUUUAUGUAUGGCCCUUGCAAUGGCGGACA